rnacentral:rRNA from 1 species
UACGAAGGGUGCAACCGUUGCUCGGAAUCAUUGGGCGUAAAGCGCACGUAGGCGGCUUGCCAAGUCGGACGUGAAAUCCCUCAGCUCAACUGAGGACGUGCAUCCGAAACUGGCGAGCUUGAGUACUGAAGAGGAUCGCGGAAUUCCCGGUGUAGAGGUGAAAUUCGUAGAUAUCGGGAGGAACACCAGUGGCGAAGGCGGCGAUCUGGGCAGAUACUGACGCUGAGAGGCGAAAGCGUGGGGAGCAAACAGG